rnacentral:rRNA from 1 species
GGGUUUAAAGGGUGCGUAGGCGGACUAUUAAGUCAGUGGUGAAAUCUUGCAGCUUAACUGUAAAACUGCCAUUGAUACUGAUAGUCUUGAAUUUAGUUGAGGUAGGCGGAAUGUGUUGUGUAGCGGUGAAAUGCAUAGAUAUAACACAGAACACCGAUUGCGAAGGCAGCUUACUAAGCUAUAAUUGACGCUGAUGCACGAAAGCGUGGGGAGCGAACAGGAUUAGAUACCCUGGUAGUCCACGCCGUAAACGAUGAUUACUCGUUGUUGGCAAUACAUGGUCAGCGACUGAGCGAAAGCAUUAAGUAAUCCACCUGGGGAGUACGUUGGCAACAAUGAAACUCAAAGGAAUUGACGGGGGCCCGCACAAGCGGAGGAACAUGUGGUUUAAUUCGAUGAUACGCGAGGAACCUUACCUGGACUUAAAUGUAGAUUGCAUGAAGCAGAGAUGCUUCUUUCUUCGGACUAUUUACAAGGUGCUGCAUGGUUGUCGUCAGCUCGUGCCGUGAGGUGUCGGGUUAAGUCCCAUAACGAGCGCAACCCCUGUUGUUAGUUACCAGCACGUCAAGGUGGGGACUCUAACAAGACUGCCGGUGUAAACCGCGAGGAAGGUGGGGAUGACGUCAAAUCAGCACGGCCCUUACGUCCAGGGCUACACACGUGUUACAAUGGCAGGUACAAAGGGCAGCUACAUAGCGAUAUGAUGCUAAUCUCAAAAGCCUGUCUCAGCUCGGAUCGGAGUCUGCAACUCGACUCCGUGAAGCUGGAUUCGCUAGUAAUCGCGUAUCAGCAAUGACGCGGUGAAUACGUUCCCGGGCCUUGUACACAC